rnacentral:rRNA from 1 species
GAAACUUAAAGGAAGUUGACGGGGCCCGCACAAGCGGUGGAGUAUGUGGUUUAAUUCGAUGCAACGCGAAGAACCUUACCUGGUCUUGACAUCCCGGAGACCCUUAGGAAACUAGGGGUGCUUCCAUCUGGAAGAAUCUGGAGACAGGUGCUGCAUGGCUGUCGUCAGCUCGUGUCGUGAGAUGUUGGGUUAAGUCCCGCAACGAGCGCAACCCUUGCCUUUAGUUGCCAGCAGUUCGGCUGGGCACUCUAAAGGGACUGCCGGUGUUAAACCGGAGGAAGGUGGGGAUGACGUCAAGUCCUCAUGGCCUUUAUGACCAGGGCUACACACGUACUACAAUGGCCGAUACAAAGGGCAGCGACACUGCGAGGUGAAGCCAAUCCCGUAAAAUCGGUCUCAGUCCGGAUUGGAGUCUGCAACUCGACUCCAUGAAGUUGGAAUCGCUAGUAAUCGCGCAUCAGCCAUGGCGCGGUGAAUACGUUCCCGGGCCUU